AUUGUUAUUUCUAGGUAUCGAACUUCGUGGCACGUGAGUGAGAAUGAGAGAGAGAUUUCAACUUCUUUAUUCUUCGACGCUUCUAUGGUUUCUCUUCUGAAUUUUAUCCCUUCUUUUCUUUCACCAUUCCGCUACAUCUCUUUCUCUUUAUCUUGAUUUUCAAUCUUGAUUUUUAGGCUUUUUUCGUUUGUGACAGAAACACCUCGUUCUUGAUAUUCAAGAAGGUUCAAUCUCCAUGAGUCUUGAUUAUUGGAGCCCUAGAAAUUUGAUUAGAUUUGUGAAAUUGUUACGCAAGAUUUCAAUAUCAGGGGUUUAUAGUUUCUGUCGCCUCUACUUGUUUCGAUUUGAAAUAUAGCGUGAGUGAUUACGCAACUGAACUCAAUUAACGGCGGUUUGCAUCCUUCUCUCAAGGUUUCGAUUAUUUCUUCAGAUUGAUGGAAUCAAUUGUGAGCUAUGAAUUGAUGGCGUUGAAAUAAAUUACAAUAUGAAUUUUAUAUUUAUAUUAUGAAAUUCGGAUGAUAUAUAUGAGAUUUGAUAGACCAAAUAUGAGUUUAUGGUUGAAGAUCGGAAAGUAAAUUGCAAUAAGAAAUUCAGAUUAUUAUUGUAUAACUCGGCUGACGGAAUACAUAAAGAUUGAUUGACCUAAAUAUGAGCUUGAAGUUGAUGACCUUACAAUAAGAGUUGAUGAACCCAAAUAGGAGUUCAAAGUUGAUGACCUUAAAAUAAAUUGCAAUAUGAAUUUUGUAUUCAUAUUGUAAAGUUAUGGAUGGUAUACAUGAGAAUGAUGUAUGAGAAUGUGAGCUUCUAGAUCAUUUUAAAAUAAAUUUGUACUUAAAUUUUGUA